AAGGAAUAUUGGUCAAUGGACGCGAGUCUGAACCAGCCAUGCCGUGUGCAGGAUGAAGCUUUUAGGAGUGUAAACUGCUUUUUUAUGGGAACAAAGAGCUCCUGCGGGAGAAGUUGAGAGUACCAUAAGAAUAAGUACCGGCUAACUAUGUGCCGGCAGCCGCGGUAAUACAUAGGGUGCAAGCGUUAUCCGGAUUUACUGGGUUUAAAGGGUGCGUAGGCGGUUUCUCAAGUCGGUGAUGAAAGCUUGGUGCUCAACAUCAAAAGUGUUGCCGAUACUAGGAAACUUGAGUUAAGGAAAGGUAGGCGGAAUUUAUGGUGUAGCGGUGAAAUGCGUAGAUAUCAUAAGGAACUCCAAUAGCGUAGGCAGCUUACUAGCCUUAUACUGACGCUGAUGCACGAAAGGCGGGGAGCAAAC
rnacentral:rRNA from 1 species